GCCAGCUACCUUGACAAAAGUCGCAAUCCUCAGUCCCGGCUGGCUGUAUUCCCACGGGCUAUAACACUCUACCGAAGCAGAGCCACAUUCCCGAGGAUUUAUCCAACCGCUAAAACUGAUGCUGGCCCAGCGAAAGCCGAAGCAAACGCCAUGUCUGAUCAAAUGCCCUUCCCUUUCAACAAUUUCACGUACUUUUUCACUCUCUUUUCAAAGUUCUUUUCAUCUUUCCAUCACUGUACUUGUUCGCUAUCGGUCUCUCGCCAAUAUUUAGCUUUAGAUGGAAUUUACCACCCACUUAGAGCUGCAUUCCCAAACAACUCGACUCGUCGAAAGCACUUUACAAAUAACUGGGAUCCUCGCCACACGGGAUUCUCACCCUCUAUGACGUCCUGUUCCAAGGAACAUAGACAAGGACCAGCUACAAAGUUGCCUUCUUCAAAUUACAACUCGGACGUCGAAGACGCAAGAUUUCAAAUUUGAGCUUUUGCCGCUUCACUCGCCGUUACUAAGGCAAUCCCGG
rnacentral:rRNA from 1 species